rnacentral:lncRNA from 1 species
CAGGGUCAUGAUUCUGCUCUUUGCCAGGCCCAUAUUCCUCAAGAUCACAAACUCAACUAGGGCCUGGUCACUGCAGCCCAGACAGCCUCUAGUCUUGACCUCCCUAAUGAGCUCUUCCAUGUUGCUAAGCACCAGGUCCAGCAACAUUUCUCCUCUGGUUGGUUUGUCUAAUACCUGUACCAGGAAAUUAUCCUCAACAUACUCUAGGAUUGCUUACAGCCUGCUGUGUAGUUUUCCCAGCAGACGUCCAGGAGAGUCAGAUUCCUCCUUGUGGUUUUGCUGCACAACCAGGAAUAGGUGACCUGGUGGUGUGUUUCUGCAACUAUUGUCAGAAAACAAAUAUGCUCAGGACAGGUCUUUUGCCUAAGGCAAACCAAAGCCAAUGGAAAUCCUGCUAUCAGCUUCAACAGCCUCUGAAUGAAGUCUGAAUUCUGCCAAGUGCAGGUAAUUUGACUGCAGAUACCACGGUGCAAAAGAAUAAAAUAGCUGUGCAUUGGGUUUAGCUUAGCA